rnacentral:rRNA from 1 species
UGGGGAAUUUUGGACAAUGGGCGCAAGCCUGAUCCAGCCAUUCCGCGUGCAGGACGAAGGCCUUCGGGUUGUAAACUGCCUUUGUACGGAACGAAAAGGCUCUGGCUAAUACCUGGGGCUCAUGACGGUACCGUAAGAAUAAGCACCGGCUAACUACGUGCCAGCAGCCGCGGUAAUACGUAGGGUGCAAGCGUUAAUCGGAAUUACUGGGCGUAAAGCGUGCGCAGGCGGUUAUGUAAGACAGAGGUGAAAUCCCCGGGCUCAACCUGGGAACUGCCUUUGUGACUGCAUAGCUGGAGUACGGCAGAAGGGGAUGGAAUUCCGCGCGUAGCAGUGAAAUGCGUAGAUAUGCGGAGGAACACCGAUGGCGAAGGCAAUCCCCUGGGCCUGUACUGACGCUCAUGCACGAAAGCGUGGGGAGCAAACAG